rnacentral:rRNA from 1 species
UGAGAUGUUGGGUUAAGUCCCGCAACGAGCGCAACCCUUGUCAUUAGUUGCUACAUUUAGUUGGGCACUCUAAUGAGACUGCCGGUGACAAACCGGAGGAAGGUGGGGAUGACGUCAAGUCCUCAUGGCCCUUAUAGGUGGGGCUACACACGUCAUACAAUGGCUGGUACAGAGGGUUGCCAACCCGCGAGGGGGAGCUAAUCCCAUAAAACCAGUCGUAGUCCGGAUCGCAGUCUGCAACUCGACUGCGUGAAGUCGGAAUCGCUAGUAAUCGCGGAUCAGCA